CAGCUAUCAGCAAUGACUGAUUCCUAUGCAAAUCGGCAAUGGACAACGUAAUGCAUUGAUCUAGUUUUCUCUCACCCCACUGGAUUUCGUUUGAGUGGCUGACUCUCAAAAACCAAUCCUUCCAUCCCACGGUAGGACUGGGCCAGGAACAGAAGGUAUCCUUCCAUACAUCCAGAGAAAAAUUCUCAGGUGUAAAGGGGAUUCUGUUUGUUUCUACAUUGAUAAGGACGGUGGGAUCUAGAUCCCCUAACGGACCAAGGCAUUAGAGAUGUGGUU
rnacentral:lncRNA from 1 species